rnacentral:misc_RNA from 1 species
GAUGAAGAACGCAGCGAAAUGCGAUACUUGGUGUGAAUUGCAGAAUCCCGUGAACCAUCGAGUCUUUGAACGCAAGUUGCGCCCGAAGCCAUCAGGUUGAGGGCACGUCUGCCUGGGCGUCACAUAUCGUUGCCCAAUGCCUAUUGCAGUGCAAUAGGAAUUUCUAGGGCGAAUGAUGGCUUCCCGUGAGCGUUGUUGCCUCGCGGUUGGUUGAAAAUCGAGUCCUUGGUAGGGUGUGCCAUGGUAGAUGGUGGUCGAGUUAGAACGAUACCGAUCAUGUGCAUGCUCCCCAAAAUAUGGCCUCUAUGACCCACAUGCGUCUUUUGACGCUCAUGACGAGACCUCAGGUCAGGCGGGGCUACCCGCUGAAUUUAAGCAUAUCAAUAAGCGGAGA